GGACCUGAGAAACGGCUACCACAUCCAAGGAAGGCAGCAGGCGCGCAAAUUACCCAAUCCCAACAUGGGGAGGUAGUGACAAGAAAUACUGAUAUAGGGUCCUAUAGGAUCUUGUAAUUGGAAUGAGUACAAUUUAAACCCAUUAACGAGGAACAACUAGAGGGCAAGUCUGGUGCCAGCAGCCGCGGUAAUUCCAGCUCUAGUAGCAUACAUUAAAAUUGUUGCAGUUAAAACGCCCGUAGUUGAAGUUUAGGUCCUUAUCAUCUGGUCUGCCUCACCGCUAGUACUGGUAUGAUUGGGCCUUUUUUCUUGGUAAACUGUUAUGCCCUUUAUUGGGUGUGGCAGUGAACUAGGACUUUUACUUUGAAAAAAUUAGAGUGUUUAAAGCAGGCUUUUGCUCGAAUACCUUAGCAUGGAAUAAUGGAAUAUGACGAGUGGUUGUUUUUCAUUGGUUUUCACGACUACCGUAAUGAUUGAUAGGGAUGGUCGGGGGCAUCGGUAUUCGAUCGUCAGAGGUGAAUUUCUUAGAUUA
rnacentral:rRNA from 1 species